UCAUGAUCAAUAACAAGACAGACGUAUGAAAUUUGCUAAAUCAUUGCUUUACUGGCGAGCAGGGAACUGGGGGUGGGAGGUAUUUCGUGAUGCUUAAGUGACGUACCAUUUGAGAACGCGUGUCGUUGAAUCCAGAAUCCAGAGGCCCGAACCCAGAAAAGUUUGUUGUUUGAUAAACUCUUGAAAGCCUAUUGAUCAUGUUUCGUUUGCCCGGGACUGAUAGAACACCCGAUAAAGCUGCUGUAGAAGAGGAAAGGAGAAGAGCCAAACAAAACGUGUGGUUUACAAUGAAAGCUUUUGUGGCCUAUGUGGUUCUGCUGAGAUUAGCUCCUUAUGCCUACAAAACUCUUUCUGGAUGAUUGGUUGUGGCUUCUGAAAUGACUGUAACAAGAUGCAGACUAUGGAUGUUUUUUUCUUUCAUUGAUCAAGUUCUUUGUUAAUUAUUUUUUUAUUUACAAAAAAUUACUCGUUGCUUUGGUUUUCUGGUUUGUGAAUAUUUGUUGAUCAGCGAUAUGUGUUGGCAAUACAAAGCUGUAUUUACAUUUGGGAUUGGGAUUUGCAUGGUGGAAUGAAAUGGAUCUUGUGUACAGACACAGUGCGUAAGAAGAUCAAAACAGCAUACAAGAUUUUCUGACAGCAUAAACUUCCCUUCUUCAUGGACGGGAUGGGAAGACUGUCUUCUUCCAGAGAUGGUGAGGAUGACAUUUAACUAAUUCAAAAAUGUGUUAUUACUAUUAACACCGAUUUCACUUUGGAGAAAUUUUUACAAUAUGUAGUUUUCUGCAGUCUUAAAUGUCAAUAAUAAAAAAAUCCAAUAAUUGCACUCCUGAAAUAGCUACUGUUCUUGAUUUAAUAAUGAACCUCAUGGUGACAUUCUUAUGUGGAGAGGACUGUUAGAUGUUUGUAGGGCUGGUUGAUGUUUUAAUUGCAUAGAGCAAGUCCGUAUUAGCUCAGAGCUCUUGGUGUCAUUCUUGAUGUGAAAAAAAAAGGUGUAAAUUGUCUACUACAUGUUACUAGUAAUGUAUUUACUGUUUUUGGUUUAAAUACAAUAGACCAUGUUUGUGUAA